GUCCACGCCGUAAACGAUGAUUACUAGGUGUGGGGACUGACCCCUUCCGUGCCGGAGUUAACACAAUAAGUAAUCCACCUGGGGAGUACGGCCGCAAGGCUGAAACUCAAAGGAAUUGACGGGGCCCGCACAAGCAGUGGAGUAUGUGGUUUAAUUCGAAGCAACGCGAAGAACCUUACCAGGUCUUGACAUCGAGUGACGAACAUAGAGAUAUGUUCUUCCUUCGGGACACGAAGACAGGUGGUGCAUGGUUGUCGU
rnacentral:rRNA from 1 species